GCGGGUUUAGCUCAGUUGGGAGAGCGUCAGACUGAAGUCAAACUUCGGGGAUUCGAUAUCUGAAGGUCGUGUGUUCGAUCCACACAAACCGCA